AUUGAACGCUGGCGGCAGGCCUAACACAUGCAAGUCGCGCGAGCGGCGGACGGGUGAGUAAUGUCUGGGAAACUGCCUGAUGGAGGGAGAUAACUACUGGAAACGGUAGCUAAUACCGCAUACCAUCGGAUGUGCCAAGGUGGGAUUAGAUAGUAGGUGGGGUAAUGGCUACCCUAGGCGACGAUCCCUAGCUGGUCGGAGAGGAUGCACAGCCACACUGGAAGUGAGACACGGUCCAGACUCCUACGGGAGGAAGCAGUGGGGAAUAUUGGACAAUGGGCGCAAGCCUGAUGCAGCCAUGCGGCGUGUGUGAAGAAGGCCUUCGGGUUGUAAAGUACUUUCAGCUGGGAGGCGUUACCCGCAGAAGAAGCACCGGCUAACUCCGUGCCAGCAGCCGCGGUAAUUC
rnacentral:rRNA from 1 species